UUUUUCUCUCAGAUGUGUUUAAGAUGGACCCGGACUUCCUGGAGAACGAGGAGAAAUACAAAACUAUCAAAAGAGAUAUCCUCGACGAAGGCAGCAGCGACUCAGGCGAGGAGGCCGACGGCAGCGAUGAAGAUGAAGAAGAUGAAGAUGAGAAUGCAGAGGAGGGAGAAGAUGAAAAGGUCACCAUCUUUGAUCAGACCGAAGUCAACCUGGUUGCUUUCAGAAGAACCAUCUACCUCGCUAUCCAGUCCA